rnacentral:rRNA from 1 species
UACGAACUGUGCGAACGUUAUUCGGAAUCACUGGGCGUAAAGGGCGCGUAGGCGGCCUGUUAAGUCGAACGUGAAAUCCCCGGGCUCAACCCAGGAACUGCGUCCGAUACUGGCAGGCUUGAAUUCGGGAGAGGGAUGCGGAAUUCCAGGUGUAGCGGUGAAAUGCAUAGAUAUCUGGAGGAACACCGGUGGCGAAGGCGGCAUCCUGGACCGAUAUUGACGCUGAGGCGCGAAAGCCAGGGGAGCAAACGGG